UAGCUUGCUACUUUGCCGGCGAGCGGCGGACGGGUGAGUAAUGUCUGGGAAACUGCCUGAUGGAGGGGGAUAACUACUGGAAACGGUAGCUAAUACCGCAUAACGUCGCAAGACCAAAGAGGGGGACCUUCGGGCCUCUUGCCAUCAGAUGUGCCCAGAUGGGAUUAGCUAGUAGGUGGGGUAACGGCUCACCUAGGCGACGAUCCCUAUCUGGUCUGAGAGGAUGACCACCCACACUGGAACUGAGACACGGUCCAGACUCCUACGGGAGGCAGCAGUGGGGAAUAUUGCACAAUGGGCGCAAGCCUGAUGCACCCAUGCCGCUGUAUGAAGAAGGCCUUCGGGUUGUAAAGUACUUUCAGCGGGGAGGAAGGUGUUGAGGUUAAUAACCUCAGCAAUUGACGUUACCCGCAAAAGAAGCACCGGCUAACUCCGUGCCAGCAGCCGCGGUAAUACGGAGGGUGCAAGCGUUAAUCGGAAUUACUGGGCGUAAAGCGCACGCAGGCGGUCUGUCAAGUCAGAUGUGAAAUCCCCGGGCUCAACCUGGGAACUGCAUUCGAAACUGGCAGGCUAGAGUCUUGUAGAGGGGGGUAGAAUUCCAGGUGUAGCGGUGAAAUGCGUAGAGAUCUGGAAGAAUACCGGUGGCGAACGCGGCCCCCUGGACAAAGACUGACGCUCAUGUGCGAAAGCGUGGGGAGCAAACAAGAUUAUAUACCCUGGUAGUCCACGCCGUAAACGAUGUCGACUUGGAUGUUGUGCCCUUGAGGCGUGUCUUCCGGA
rnacentral:rRNA from 1 species